rnacentral:lncRNA from 1 species
UUGGCAUGUGGAUUAUUUGAGCUGAAGGCAGUUAAGUCCCAAAAUGUUGAGGAAAAGCUUUUUACCUCUCCUCUAACUGCCUAGAAGAAUUUAGACAGGGGACCUGGCCCAGAAAGAGAGUUAUUACCAGAUAUAAUUUUUUUUCUUAAUCUGAGAGGCUCGUCUGCAUGGUAUGGCCAACAUCUGAUCCCCAGACAUCUGCUCUUCUGUGAAUUGACCUCCUGCCCUUUGGGGCCCCAGCCCUGUCCCUUUCCUCAGCCCAGGACAACAUGUGAGCCUCAACUGCUGGCUGCCUUGGAGUCUUACGUUUUUGUGGGACUCCCGUAUGGAUGUAAUUACAUUUGUUUUUCUCCUGUUAAUCUGCCUUAUGUUAAUUUCAUCAUUAGACCAGCCAAGGAACCCAGAAGGGAAGGAAGGAAAACGUUCCACCUGGACCACAAGGAAAUGGAGGCCCAGCACCGUGGUGCCCUCAGGUCUUUGUAGUUUCCUGUUAAUUUAAUACCUGAACCUUCGCCAUGUAAAUAGCACAGGUAAAGAUAAACUUCGCUGGCCCUGGACUCUGACCUUCAACACCCACCUCCUGUCUGAUUCGUCUUCCAUCCCACCGCUGGAAGGUUUAAAAAUGUUACGUGGAAAUUUAAAGCCAAAGAAUAAAUAGAAUAAAUGGCUGAAGGCAGAGCAUGUUGGUUGCACACAAGCCUAACAAGACAGUUCAAAAAUAAGGGCAAUGCUCUAGUCGGCUGCUGUGUCUGGCCCUCUUCCUCAAAGAGGUGACCUAGAUGGGGUCCAUUCCAUUAGGUAGGACUCCCACAGGCUGUCAUCUCGAAGCUUCUAGGCACCCAGGCUGUGCUUUGCUGGCCCUGCACUGCACACUUACUUAGACAAGAGCGAUUUAAACGAGUGAUUUAAUCCCUCUUACUCACUAUUGUUGAGCACCCCCGUCUUUAUUUCUUUUCCUGUUGGAGUGCUUCCUCUAACCGUGUUUUCAAAGGGUGGCUAUUUGCGAGAAAUCUUCCGAUCCUUCAAAUACCUGAUAAUUUAGCUAGAAAUCAAAACCUAGCUUCAAAGUUUUUUCUCUUUGAUACUUUAAAAAUGUGAUUCAGCUAUCAUCUUAAAUCCAGUGUUGCCGUGAGGAAAUCUGAAGUUCAAUCUGAUGUUUGUUCCUUCCUUAGCCCUCUGCUAUCUGGGUGCCUGGAAUACAGAUGUGAUGGCUGGUGCGGUCGCUGCAAGUUUGGAUUAUGAGGAUGAGAUGGAGGAAUAGUGACCUGGAUUGAAACCUGAGUCCUCAAGAACUAGUGAUACCAAGCUACUAUGUUGGCCAUGAAUGGUCCACCCCCACACUUCUACAAAAGGGAAAAAUAAACUUCCAUUGUGCUUGGAGUCCAUAUUAUCAGUAGCUAUUAAUUGGAGUCUGGACCAUUAGUAACUGAAAUGAAUCAUAAUUCAUGUCUUGAUUAAAUCUGCUUUAUCUAUACUUUCCAGAAGUCAUUUCCCAGUGAUUGAUAUUCCCCUG